rnacentral:rRNA from 1 species
UACGUAGGGUGCAGGCGUUUAAUCGGAAUUACUGGGCGUAAAGCGUGCGCAGGCGGUUUGCUAAGACAGGUGUGAAAUCCCCCGGGCUUAACCUGGGAACUGCGCUUGUUACUGGCAGGCUUGAGUGUGGCAGAGGGGGGGUGGAAUUCCACGUGUAGCAGUGAAAUGCGUAGAGAUGUGGAGGAACACCGAUGGCGAAGGCAGCCCCCCUGGGGCUAACACUGACGCUCAGGCACGAAAGCGUGGGGAGCAAACAGG